rnacentral:rRNA from 1 species
CCUGGCUCAGAUUGAACGCUGGCGGCAUGGCUAAAACAUGCAAGUCGAACGCGAACGCUCCUUCGGGAGCUAGUAGAGUGGCGAAAGGGCGAGUAAUGCAUUCCUAACGUACCCUUGGGUCGGGAAUAGGCCGGGGAAACCCGGAUUAAUACCCGAUAACCCCGUCUGGUCGCAUGGCCGGACGGGCAAAGGCUUGCUGCCCUUGGCGCGGGGAAUGUCCUAUCAGGUUGUUGGUGGGGUAACGGCUCACCAAGCCAAAGACGGGUAGCGGGUGUGAGAGCACGGCCCGCCGCAUCGGGACUGAGACACUGCCCGGACUCCUACGGGAGGCUGCAGUAACGAAUAUUCCGCAAUGCGCGAAAGCGUGACGGAGCAAUGCCGCGUGCAGGAUGAAGCCCCUCGGGGUGUAAACUGCUGUCAGGAGUCAGCAACCCAAUGAGCAACUCCAGAGGAAGGACCGGCUAACUUCGUGCCAGCAGCCGCGGUAAUACGAAGGGUCCAAGCGUUAAUCGGAAUCACUGGGCUUAAAGGGUGCGUAGGCGGACUGGCCAGUGCCUUGUGAAAUCCCACGGCUCAACCGUGGAAUUGCUCGGCAUACUGCCAGUCUUGAGGUCGGUAGAGGGUGCCGGAACUCUAGGUGGAGCGGUGAAAUGCGUAGAUAUCUAGAGGAACGUCAAAGGCGAAGGCAGGCACCUGGUCCGAUUCUGACGCUGAGGCACGAAAGCGUGGGGAGCGGACGGGAUUAGAUACCCCGGUAGUCCACGCCCUAAACUAUGUGCACUAGAUUGUGGGGGUUUUGACGCCCGCACAAUCGAAGCUAAAGUGAUUAGUGCACCGCCUGGGGAGUACGGUCGCAAGGCUAAAACUCAAAGGAAUUGACGGGGGCUCACACAAGCGGUGGAGCAUGUGGCUUAAUUCGAAGCUACGCGAAGAACCUUAUCCAGGGUUUGACAUGUACGGAUUAGCUCGGCGAAAGUCGAGUGACGCUCUUUGAGUGGAACGUACACAGGUGCUGCAUGGCUGUCGUCAGCUCGUGCUGUGAAGUGUCGGGUUAAGUCCCUUAACGAGCGAAACCCCUACCACUAGUUACCAGCGGACCUUCGGGUGCCGGGGACUCUAGCGGGACUGCCGGUGUCAAACCGGAGGAAGGUGGGGACGACGUCAAGUCCUCAUGGCCUUUAUGCCCUGGGCUGCACACGUGCUACAAUGGUAACUACAGAGCGAAGCGAUACCGCAAGGUGGAGCAAAUCGCAAAAAAGUUGCCCCAGUUCGGAUUGUGGUCUGCAACUCGACCACAUGAAGUUGGAAUCGCUAGUAAUCGCGUAUCAGCAAUGACGCGGUGAUACGUUCCUGAGCCUUGUACACACCGCCCGUCAAGUCAUGGAAGCCGGGAGUGCCCGAAGUCGCCUCAAAUCAGAGGUGCAUACGGCAAGCUCGCUGACUGGGACUAAGUCGU